UGGUUAGUCGGCACGAGCGCACCCUGUUUCUAGUUGCCAGCAAGUAAUGUUGGGGACUCUAGAAAGACUGCCUGCGUAAGCAGAGAGGAAGGAGGGGACGACGUCAAAUCAGCAUGGCCCUUAUGCCUAGGGCUACACACGUGCUACAAUGGCGUAUACAAAGGGUAGCGAGCCAGCGAUGGUAAGCCAAUCUCUAAAAGUACGUCUCAGUUCGGAUUGAAGUCUGCAACUCGACUUCAUGAAGCUGGAAUCGCUAGUAAUCGUGUAUCAGCAAUGACACGGUGAAUACGUUCCCGGACCUUGUACACACCGCCCGUCAAGCCAUGGAAGUUGGAAAUACCUGAAGAUGGUUGCUGUAAGGCGCUGUUUAGGGUAGAGCUAGCAACUGGGGCUAAGUCGUAACAAGGUAGCCGUACCGGAAGGUGUGGCUGGAAUACCUCCUUUCU
rnacentral:rRNA from 1 species